AUUGAACGCUGGCGGCAGGCCUAACACAUGCAAGUCGAACGAGUGGCGGACGGGUGAGUAAUGUCUGGGAAACUGCCUGAUGGAGGGGGAUAACUACUGGAAACGGUAGCUAAUACCGCAUACCAUCGGAUGUGCCCAGUUGGGAUUAGCUAGUAGGUGGGGUAAAGGCUCACCUAGGCGACGAUCCCUAGCUGGUCUGAGAGGAUGACCGGCCAAAAGGGAACGAGGACAGGGUCCAGACUCCUACGGAAGGCAGCAGUGGGGAAUAUUGCACAAUGGGCGCAAGCCGGAUGCAGCCAUGCCGCGUGUAUGAAGAAGGCCUUCGGGUUGUAAAGUACUUUCAGCGGGGAGGCGUUACCCGCAGAAGAAGCACCGGCUAACUCCGUGCCAGCAGCCGCGGUAAUUC
rnacentral:rRNA from 1 species